rnacentral:rRNA from 1 species
UGGGGAAUAUUGCACAAUGGGCGAAAGCCUGAUGCAGCGACGCCGCGUGAAGGAUGAAGGUCUACGGAUUGUAAACUUCUGUUAAGUGGGAAUAAAUAUCUGCUUCUAAUAAAAGUAGAGGAUGAAUGUACCAUUAGAGAAAGCACCGGCUAAACUCGUGCCAGCAGCCGCGGUAAUACGAGUGGUGCAAGCGUUAUUCGGAAUCAUUGGGCGUAAAGGGUGUGUAGGCGGCAAAUCAAGUCUAUUGUUAAAUUUCUCGGCCUAACCGGGAUACUGCGGUGGAUACUGAUUUGAUAGAGGAUGGAAGAGAGAAGUGGAAUUCUCGGAGUAGCGGUAAAAUGCGUAGAUAUCGAGAGGAACACCGAUGGCGAAGGCAGCUUCUUGGUCCAUACCUGACGCUGAGACACGAAAGCGUGGGGAGCAAACAGGAUUAGAUACCCGUGUAGUCC